UACGUAGGGUGCGAGCGUUGUCCGGAAUUAUUGGGCGUAAAGAGCUCGUAGGCGGUCUGUCGCGUCGGUCGUGAAAACUUGGGGCUUAACCCUGAGCUUGCGGUCGAUACGGGCAUGACUGGAGUUCGGCAGGGGAGACUGGAAUUCCUGGUGUAGCGGUGAAAUGCGCAGAUAUCAGAAGGAACAUCAGUGGCGAAAGCGACUUCCUGGACCAGAACUGACGAUCAGGCACGAAAGCGUGGGGAGCAAACAGG
rnacentral:rRNA from 1 species